rnacentral:rRNA from 1 species
UAGUAACGGCGAGUGAAGCGGCAACAGCUCAAAUUUGAAAUCUGGCGUCUUUGGCGUCCGAGUUGUAAUUUGCAGAGGGCGCUUUGGCAUUGGCAGCGGUCCAAGUUCCUUGGAACAGGACGUCACAGAGGGUGAGAAUCCCGUACGUGGUCGCUAGCCUUUACCGUGUAAAGCCCCUUCGACGAGUCGAGUUGUUUGGGAAUGCAGCUCUAAAUGGGAGGUAAAUUUCUUCUAAAGCUAAAUACUGGCCAGAGACCGAUAGCGCACAAGUAGAGUGAUCGAAAGAUGAAAAGCACUUUGGAAAGAGAGUUAAAAAGCACGUGAAAUUGUUGAAAGGGAAGCGCUUGCAGCCAGACUUGCCUGUAGUUGCUCAUCCGGGUUUCUACCCGGUGCACUCUUCUACGGGCAGGCCAGCAUCAGUUUGGGCGGUUGGAUAAAGGUCUCUGUCAUGUACCUCCCUUCGGGGAGAUCUUAUAGGGGAGACGACAUGCAACCAGCCUGGACUGAGGUCCGCGCAUCUGCUAGGAUGCUGGCGUAAUGGCUGUAAGCGGCCCGUCUUGAAACACGGACCAAGGAGUCUAACAUCUAUGCGAGUGUUUGGGUGUCAAGCCCGAGCGCGUAAUGAAAGUGAACGGAGGUGGGAACCUUUCGGGGUGCACCAUCGACCGAUCCUGAUGUCUUCGGAUGGAUUUGAGUAAGAGCAUAGCUGUUGGGACCCGAAAGAUGGUGAACUAUGCUUGAAUAGGGUGAAGCCAGAGGAAACUCUGGUGGA